ACUCACGUAUAUAUAUAUAUAUAUAUUUAUACGUAUCAAAGAGAAAAAAAUCUUUCGUUCAAAGAACAGAGACAAGAGAAGAAAGAGAACGACGACAUAUGCGCUCGAGCGCGAGAAAGACGAAGACAGUUGGGGAACGAACAGGCGUAUAUGAAAAACGAUAUAACGCGACGAUAAUCGUCGUCGAUCUUUUAGGCUCCUGAAGUCAUGAAGUAAAAGAAAGAAAACAAAGAGAAAACAAAAAAAAAACAAAAAAAGAACCAAAGGGGACGACUACCAAGUAUUUCCUUCCUCUUCUCGAGGAGAGACGAGAAAAAGACACGCCGGCCAAGAGGCGCGGCGACGAACUCAGCUCGAAGCGACCGAACUCAGUCCUCAGUGUAGGCUAGUCGGCUCGCUCACGGUGCUAGUGCUUUAAAGGCUUACGCUCCUUGCACCUAAAGAAACACAAAAGUAAUAACCAACAAGAACGAGAAGAACAACGACGACGAAAAGAGAA